GGCUCAGGAUGAACGCUGGCGGCGUGCUUAACACAUGCAAGUCGAACGAUGAAGCCAGCUUGCUGGUGGAUUAGUGGCGAACGGGUGAGUAACACGUGAGUAACCUGCCCUUGACUCUGGGAUAAGCCUGGGAAACCGGGUCUAAUACUGGAUACGACCUUCUGGCGCAUGCCAUGUUGGUGGAAAGCUUUUGUGGUUUUGGAUGGACUCGCGGCCUAUCAGCUUGUUGGUGGGGUAAUGGCCUACCAAGGCGACGACGGGUAGCCGGCCUGAGAGGGUGACCGGCCACACUGGGACUGAGACACGGCCCAGACUCCUACGGGAGGCAGCAGUGGGGAAUAUUGCACAAUGGGCGCAAGCCUGAUGCAGCGACGCCGCGUGAGGGAUGAAGGCCUUCGGGUUGUAAACCUCUUUCAGUAGGGAAGAAGCUGGC
rnacentral:rRNA from 1 species